GUGAGGAAUAUUGGUCAAUGGGCGAGAGCCUGAACCAGCCAAGUCGCGUGAAGGAAGAAGGAUCUAUGGUUCGUAAACUUCUUUUGCAGGGGAAUAAAGUGCAGGACGUGUCCUGUUUUGUAUGUACCCUGAGAAUAAGGAUCGGCUAACUCCGUGCCAGCAGCCGCGGUAAUACGGAGGAUCCGAGCGUUAUCCGGCUUUAUUGGGUUUAAAGGGUGCGUAGGUGGUUUGAUAAGUCAGCGGUGAAAGUUUGCAGCUUAACUGUAAAAAUGCCGUUGAAACUGUCGGACUUGAGUGUAAAUGAGGUAGGCGGAAUGCGUGGUGUAGCGGUGAAAUGCAUAGAUAUCACGCAGAACUCCGAUUGCGAAGGCAGCUUACUAAGCUACAACUGACACUGAAGCACGAAAGCGUGGGGAUCAAACAGGAUUAGAAACCCCAGUAGUCC
rnacentral:rRNA from 1 species